rnacentral:tRNA from 1 species
GGGCCUAUGGUGAAAUGGUAUCACACGUCCAUGGCAUGGACGGAGCGCGAGUUCGAUUCUCGCUAGGUCCACCA